rnacentral:rRNA from 1 species
UACAGAGGUCUCAAGCGUUGUUCGGAUUCAUUGGGCGUAAAGGGCGCGUAGGCGGCGCAACAAGUCACUUGUGAAAUCUCCGGGCUUAACCCGGAGCGGCCAAGUGAUACUGUCGUGCUAGAGUGCGGAAGGGGCUACUGGAAUUCUCGGUGUAGCGGUGAAAUGCGUAGAUAUCGAGAGGAACACCUGCGGCGAAGGCGGGUAGCUGGGCCGACACUGACGCUGAGGCGCGAAAGCCAGGGGAGCGAACGGG